AUUAAUCAGAGAGAUUCAACAUUAGUAAGUAUUAAUCAGAGAGAUUCAACAUUAGUAAGUAUUAAUCAGAGAGAUUCAACAUUAGUAAGUAUUAAUCAGAGAGAUUCAACAUUAGUAAGUAUUAAUCAGAGAGAUUCAACAUUAGUAAGUACAAAUCAGGAGAAAUUCACCAUUAAAGUUCACUGAACAAAAAUAUAAAACGCAACAUGCAACAAUUUCAAAGAUUUUGCUGAGAUACAGUUCAUAUGAGGAAAUCAGUCAAUUGAAAUACAUUCAUUAGGCCCUAAUCUAUGGAUUUCACAUGACUGGGCAGGGGUACAACCAUGGGUGGGCAUAGGGUCACCCACUGCAAAGCCAGGUCCAACCAAUCAGAAUGAGUUUUUCCCCACAAAAGGGCUUAAUUACAGACUAAAACCCCUCCCCCGGGGGGCUGGCGUGGUUCCACGUAGUCUGCGGUAGUGAGGCCGGUUGGAUGUACUGCCAAAUUCUAUAAAAAACAACUUUGGCUUAUGGUAGAGAAAUGCACGUUCAAUUCUCUGCUAACAGCUCUGGUUGUCAUUCCUGCAGUCAUCAUGCCAAUUGCACGCUCCAUGUGACAUUGUGUUGUGUGACAUUUACAUUACAUUUAAGUCAUUUAGCAGACGCUCUUAUCCAGAGCGACUUACAAAACUGCAUAUAUUAGAAUGGCCUUUUAUUAUCCCUAGCACAAGGUGCACCUGUGUAAUGAUCAUGCUGUUUAAUCAGUUUAUUGAUAUGCCACACCUGUCAAGUGGAUAGAUUAUAUUGGUAAAGGAGAAAUGCUCACAAACAGGGAUGUAAACAAAAUGGUGGCCAAAAUUUGAGAGAAAUAAGGUUUUUCUGUGAUCUUUUAUUUCAGCUCAUGAAACAUGGGACCAGCACUUUCCAUGUUGAAUUAAUAUUUUUGUUCAGUGUAGUUAUCAGAUGGAUUCACCAUUAGUAAGUAGUUAUCACCACGUCACCUUGACACACCCCAAUGUACGCAUCUAUUAUCCCUGUUACAUUAAAUAUUUAGCAUCAGAUUAACAGAACAGGGUUGAUAUAUUUGCUCCUAAUGAACAGGACCCAGAUUAACAGAACAUGUUGAUAUAUUAGUGCCUAAUGAACAGGACCCAGAUUAACAGAACAGGUUGAUAUAUUAGUGUCCAAUGAACAGGACCCAGAUUAACAUAACAGGGUUGAUAUAUUAGUGCCCAAUGAACAGGACCCAGAUUAACAGAACAGGUUGAUAUAUUAGUGCCUAAUGAACAGGACCCAGAUUAACAGAACAGGUUGAUAUAUUAGUGCCCAAUGAACAGGACCCAGAUUAACACAACAGGUUGAUAUAUUAGUGCCUAAUGAACAGGACCCAGAUUAACACAACAGGUUGAUAUAUUAGUGCCUAAUGAACAGGACCCAGAUUAACACAACAGGUUGAUAUAUUAGUGCCUAAUGAACAGGACCCAGAUUAACACAACA